rnacentral:tRNA from 1 species
CCAAAAGAUAAGCUAAAUAAGCUAAUGGGCUCAUACCUCAUUUAUGAGAGUUAACCUCUCUCUUUUU